CCACUCUCAGAAUCACACCUAGAGAGUUUCCAGUACUCUACCAGUCUUGGCUUCAGGAGGGAGAGUCAAGCAGAGGCAUAGCCAUUCCAUUCCUAGCUUGGGCAGUGGCUAGCGGGUGGAAAAGAAUCUGCUAUAAGU